GCCAGGGGGUCUCCCGCUCCUGCUGUGACCAGCUCCCCUCCCCCAUGGUCUCCCAGAACCAGAAGAGGUGUGAAGAGUGUGGAGCAAAGACAGUGCUAUACACAUUUUUUAAUAAAUCAACAACAACAACAACAACAACAACAACAACAACAAAGGUAUUGGAGGAGUGCAGGAGUAGUGAAUGAAAGGAGGAGCCAGAAAACACAGCACAGAAACAUUCCAUCAAGGACUUCUCACUGGUGUGGAUGGGAAACAACAGUACAUCUAUGCAAAGUUUCAGUUUCAGCAAUGGUGCAACAACAGAUGAUUCCCAGGUCUUGGACAACACCCAUUUCCAUAGUACUGCUGUGAUAACCUUUGCUGACUUGCCCCCCCAUCCCAGGAGAAUAUCUUACAAUAUGCCAUGUGGGCCUUAUAUAAAGACAAAUACGUUAUGCAUCUCCCCUUCAGAACUACUUUUUAAAUUCACAUGCAAAUUUAUUUAGAUUUGCUUCAUUAAUAAAUUAACAUCAAUAAAAUCAACCAAGAUUUUUAAACUUCUGGAGACAGUCAGUCUUGGCGUUUAGGUGCAGUGAUGGAUGAGAUGAUGAAGAAAAAGAGGAAUGAGAGGAGAAUUUGGGAAAUGCAAAUCGACAGCCAUGGCAACAUCGGAAGCUGCUUUUUGCUGAGUCAAGCCAUUGGUCCAUCUAGUUCAGUAUUGUUUAUACUGACUGAUAGACGUUCUUCAGGCCUUCAGAUGAGGAUCUUUCCCAGAUGCCAGGGAUAGAACCUUCUGCAUGCAAAGUAGUUGCUCGGCCACUAAACUAAGGUCUCUUUUCUUGUCUGAUCAUAUAUUGCUUUGAUGAAUUUAACAGAGAAUGAAAUAGUACAGUGUUCUCCAUCCUCGGGUCCCCAGAUGUUGGUGGAAUACACCAUCCCUGCAAUUGGUCAAGCCGCCUGGGAAUGAAGGGAACUCUAGGCCAACAACCCAUGUGGACUGAAGGUUGAUGAACACUGAUAACAGCAGAAUUGGAAAAACAGUCACAAAAUUAGACAAGAUUACAUCUAAUUAUUCCUUUAAAGAAGGACUAGUUUUCUAAAUCUAAGAAAUCUGAUGGGGAAUAGAAUGGAGAUUUAUAACAGAAGGAAUCAUAAGUUGUAAAGAAUAUGUGUGCCCUUGGCAUUUAUGAGUUGUUGGUAAGAGUGAAGUCUGGAUAAGUUUUUGAGAGAUGGUUUCACUUAUGUAAUAUUUUAUUGUUUAAUAGGCUGAGGGAUUUGAAGCAGCGCUCUGUGGUACGGAGGCAAGCUGUGCAUCAUCUUGAUCCUAUUCCUGGCUAUUUAAUUCGCAGCGAACACAGCGCUUCAACCAGCACCUUCCUGAGCUCCGCUUGAUGGAUAAGUGCAAAGGAGACAAACGGAGAAUGAAGACUUUGUUUUUGUUUUUCCCCUCCAAAUCACAAAGGCUUAAAAAAGCAACUGCACACUUCCUACUCGACCCGAAGGCCUUUGCCCAUGGGCAAGGCGAAGGAAAGCACUUUGUUUAAAAGGAGUGUUGGGGGAAGAGCUGGUCACAAUACUGAGAUCGAUCAAAGUCUAGCAUUUCUAUCUUAUCUAUUUGGAAUCGUAUAAUUUGAGAAUUAAGAUGCCCCUAAGCUUCGCUCCUCCCCACCAUCAAAUUACAUUCAAUCAUGGCGUGCAGAAAAGCGGUCCAUGAGUUAGCAGCCAGAUGUUAUCAUUACAGGCCUUUGCUUAUAAACCGAUGCUGAAACCUGAGUGGUUGAUGAGGCUAGCUAAGCAGUUGUACCUUUGACCUGAUUGCAUUAAACUUGCCCUAUCAAUUUAAGCUUAGUAUAAACACCAUUUCCCAGAGUCCCUCAUGACUUCGGUGGUGAGAAGAAGCUGACUAAGCCUAAACAUUUUUUAACAGCAAUCUUGUCUUACAACACCAAGGGGAUUUGCUAUGUAUCUGGGGCUUUAUAAAACCAUAUGAACAUGCUGAAAGAAUUAAAGUCCUUUAAAAAAGAAAAAUUGAUGGUGACGGUCCUUUCUGAAAACCAGUAUGUAGGAUGUCAGCACAACUUGGAAACUAGCCUAAUAUAGUUUUAAAGAAUAAGAUGGAUUUGUGUACAUUUCAAACAGUUGCUCCUCAACCUUUUUUUUUUUUAAAAAAAAGAACAACCUUUUUCAAAUCAUUAACAUUUAUUUUGAACUCGACUAAACUAGAUAGAUCCCCCGCCCCACACUCUGUCCUGGGAAGGAGAUAGUGGUUGACAGAUCUUCUCAGUAUUAUAUGAUAUUUCAGAGUCUCUUUACAGUCUAGAAGUAGUGCAUAUUUUUCCUGCCACAUUAUUAUUUUUAAAAUGCACAUUACUCCCAAAUAGCUAUUUUCAAAUGAAGUGAAGUUGCAGAAAGAUUUCUACAAUUAAUAACACAUUUUUUGUAUUGUAUAAGGCUGAUAAUGUUUCAACACUUAACAAGACAUAUAUGAUUAGCAACCUUCCCCCAAAGAUGAAAGGCAGAGGGUUUAAAAGACAGCAAGUUACUAGGUGUUCUGUGCCCUCUUGAUCUGAGCAUAUAAGAAAUUAAAGAAGAUCGGUGGCUGGUGUUCAUGUUGCUAGAAUUUUAGAUGUGGUUUACGGAAUAGCAAUACUUUAAAAUCAUGCCAAUAUAUUAGCAGUUUUGUUCAGUUCAAGGAUAGUUCUGGAGUGCCUGCUCUACACGUUGAUACAGAGAGAAAACUUUCAAUUCUGCACUACCUUAAAAAACUGACAGUAUAAAUAAUAAAUUAUUAUUAUUAUUA